UUUUUUUUUUUUUUUUUUUUUUUUUUUUUUGUGGCUAACGUAAUCUCAUCAGGGCUGGUCUCCUGUGUCUUUUUACAUGUGUCCUUGCAGCACAAGGCCCAGUUCAAUGUAAUGUCCAUUACAACCUAAUUUGAUAGAUGCUCUUACUUGAGUGGAAUGAAGGUCAAGCAUGUUUUAAACAAAUCCGCAAAAGAUGAAGGUUCAUUUCACAAAGUUCUUUAAGGUCAAGGGACAUUUCUUUGAAAAAUUCAGAGCCUAGCACAGAAUUAAAAAUUUGUUUUGAUAGAGUCAGAGAAUAAAGACAAUAGGAACAGAUUACAAAAACUUGUAAAAGCAACGGGGGUGUUUUUUUCUUAAGAAUUAAUCUCAUUUAAAUAAAGAGCUAUAUUAAAACAUAUAUAAUAUGUAUAUGUAGACACUUAAAUAUACAUAUACAUUAAAUUCUUUAAACAGACAUAUUUAUCCUUUAUCUCCUUUAACCUUAAUACAUACUCAUUAUAAAAAAUCAACAUGUAUAGAAAUAAGUAAAAUAGGAAGUUAGUAUUUCUUUAAUUUUACUCGUUAAAGGUGAUCCCUGUGAACUUUUUGGAUGCGUAGUUCCAUAUGUUUAAAUGUCUAUAUACAGAACUAUUUAGAUUUUUAAAAAUGAAAGAGAAAUCACAUUAGGGAUUAUGCAACCUUAUGUAUUUUACUAGACACAUAUGGACACAUACCAUUCUAUCAUGCAUUUUCCUAAUCAAAUAUUUUUUCCAGAAGUCAUCCCUAAGUAUGGUCUGUUAAGCAAAAUUAAAAAUAAAAUUUGAAUAUGAAUUAUUUUUAAAAUAAUUAUGGAAUUUUACCCUGCAUACUUUUUCAUAUAUUGAUGGGAAGGACAGAUUUGUGAGGGAGUGUAUCAUGUUAAUUAAACUCAGACAGCUUGGGAUGUUUCUAUUCAACUGAAAGAAAAGCCAUACUGUUUCUGAUGUUACAAGAGCUGUAUGUUACAAACAUGGAUAGUUUACAGUCAAGCGUGAAACAGAGAUUUGUGUAAAGCGCUGAUUUUCUGGGGCCCUAGAGAUGAAAGAAUGUAGACGUCGACAAAACAAAGUUAGGAGUGUCUGAAAAUAUCUGUCCGUUUAUACACGUAUUUAUAAACAUGAGUUACAUGUAUCAACAUAGCAUUGGGAAUUUUUUAAAUCAUGAAUGUGACAACAUGACUUCAAGAUUCCUGCAGGAAAGUGUGAUAUCCAGUGUUGCCUCCUAGGGUUGGUGACUUUGAAAUAUCCUGAUGAGAACCUCCUCUAGGAGGAAAAGGACCAGAUGAGUCUUGGCUAUUCUGGUGCUGAGUGUCAGUGAUGGAGUGGGUGCGGAGAGACAGAGACAGGAAGUAGAGACUGAGAGACAGAGACCACAUUAUGUGUAUGAACCAAUCAACCCAUUUCCAGAAUUUGUCACUGCAGACAAAACAACAUUUCUAGAGGCCACAGUUUUCCCAUUAGAAGUAACUCAUUAUUUACUCAAUUCAAGCAAAGAAACACAUGAUCAGAGACAUUUUCUAGCUGUCUAUUUAAAAUCAGAUCUUAAAAAUAAAAUAAUUGACAUAUGAUCAGUAGAAAACAGUUAAUAAAAAUUUAGCUAAAAGUAAUGGCCUAAAGAAAAUAGAAUACGACAAUUAAGCAGAAAUGGUGGAGGUCUAAAAUUAUGUUGCAAUGUCAAUGAUUUUGGCGCACAAUGGGUAAUUUUGCAACAUUUUAAGUAUUUUAUUGCAGUUUAUCCAUCUUUUGAAUUUUUUAUUUAAUAUUUUUGUUUUAUAAUUGUGGUUAAUUUUUGACUAUAUUUUUAUGCUCUUUGAAAUGCUGAAAGUUGAAAAAAUCUGUCUGAAACUGGCAGGUUAAAUUCUGAACAAUCUAUUAAUAGUCUCUUCUCUAGAUUAAAGCAAUAAUUUUCAAAACUAUCAACAGAGUUUAAAUGUACAAGAUCUAUUUCAGGCCUUUCCAGCCAUUGCUAUUGAUGCUCAGACGGUUCUGAAAAUUAGCCAGUGGCACCUGCUCUGUUUCCUCUGUCUCUUGGCCAUGACCGCUGUAAUUUUUGACAGCUUUUGCUUUUCAGCACAAGGGGCCAUAGAUCUCCUCAGCAUAUUUUCCACCCAGACCUGGAAUCCAUCAGAUGCCAUUUUCUCAAGGAGGAAAAUAAAGUUCUGAGACCAGACUCAAAAUCCCCGAGGGGGUCACCGCUACUGACUUGUCACUGCUCCUGGGACUCCUCAGCGGACAGGUAACAGACCAACAGGAGAAGCUGCAGCUGGCAGUGCUUCUGUGUGUUCCUAGCAACGGGAAACCAUGACAGAGCAGGGCCCCAACCGAGAGCCGUCUGCAUUUGCUCAUCUGGGAUGAGAUGUUGUAUGCCUAUACCUUGGCCAAGUGAACUUCUUGCCUUCAGGGAACAUACACAAAUCCCAAUCUCUGCCUGGCCAUUUGACCCCGGGAAGUGUCAGGCAGUGGCCGGUGAUGGCUUUCCUCUCCCUCAGUAGUGAUGUGAAGGUGGUGUGAUUCUCUGAGACGUGAGAUUUGGAGACAUGACAGUUGGAUGAAUUGCCUCGAGGUCAAAGGUUUGGGCUGUUCUCCAGAAAUUACGGCCUCCCGAAACUGCCAGGUCUGCCUGUGCCUGGGAGCAUCGUGUUCUCACUGUGAUUGCACGGGGUGCUGCUUCUGCCUCUUCUCUAAUGACUAAUGGACUGCUUAAUUCUCCUCUAAAUUAAAAAGAAAUCUAUGAACAGGUUGUUGAGAGGUAUUGCUUUAAAAUGUAUGUAGGUCUGUUGGUAGAACAUUAUGCUUAUUAAUUUUAUGAAACUAUUAAGUGAAAAUCAGUACCAAAUAUUUUAACUGAAAUCUGUGUCCUUCACAUUAAGCAUCUUUAUUUGAUGUUCUCUGUUGGCUGCUGCAGCAGGAGAAGCUGAAAACAUGGUUUUCACACCCCAACUCCGUUGAACACUCAGAGAACCUAAUCUUUGUCUGGUAUGUGCUGCUUUUCUACUGUACUUGUCUGCCCUCUAGUGGUUGUAGAGCAAAGUCCAAAGAAACAUUCCACAGAUUAGAAUCAGAUGAUGAAUUUUUGAGACACGGUUAUUAUUGCUUGUUUUUUCUAGUUUAGCCUACCUCUGUGGGUCAUGUCUUACUACAUUGGGAAACCUGCGACAUGUAAGUGGCCCAGACAUUGGCAUAAACCUGUUCAGUGCUGUUAGACAUAGUGUUGUCCAUUGCACAAAAUUUCCAGCUCCAUCCUAAAAAGACCAAUAACAAAAUAUUUUAUAUGUUGAUUAAAAUAAUAAAGAAAUGAAAAAAAA
rnacentral:lncRNA from 1 species